AUUGAACGCUGGCGGCAGGCCUAACACAUGCAAGUCGAGCGGAUGAAGGGAGCUUGCUCCUGGAUUCAGCGGCGGACGGGUGAGUAAUGCCUAGGAAUCUGCCUGGUAGUGGGGGAUAACGUCCGGAAACGGGCGCUAAUACCGCAUACGUCCUGAGGGAGAAAGUGGGGGAUCUUCGGACCUCACGCUAUCAGAUGAGCCUAGGUCGGAUUAGCUAGUUGGUGGGGUAAAGGCCCACCAAGGCGACGAUCCGUAACUGGUCUGAGAGGAUGAUCAGUCACACUAGAACUGAGACACGGUCCAGACUCCUACGGGAGGCAGCAGUGGGGAAUAUUGGACAAUGGGCGAAAGCCUGAUCCAGCCAUGCCGCGUGUGUGAAGAAGGUCUUCGGAUUGUAAAGCACUUUAAGUUGGGAGGAAGGGCAGUAAGUUAAUACCUUGCUGUUUUGACGUUACCAACAGAAUAAGCACCGGCUAACUUCGUG
rnacentral:rRNA from 1 species